rnacentral:rRNA from 1 species
UACAGAGGGGGCAAGCGUUGUUCGGAAUUACUGGGCGUAAAGGGCGCGUAGGCGGCCUUCUAAGUCGAACGUGAAAUCCCCGGGCUCAACCCGGGAACUGCGUCCGAUACUGGAAGGCUUGAAUCCGGGAGAGGGAUGCGGAAUUCCAGGUGUAGCGGUGAAAUGCGUAGAUAUCUGGAGGAACACCUAUGGCGAAGGCAGCUCGCUGGGACGUUACUGACGCUGAGACGCGAAAGCGUGGGGAGCAAACAGG